UACGAAGGGGGCUAGCGUUGCUCGGAAUCACUGGGCGUAAAGCGCACGUAGGCGGCUUUCUAAGUCAGGGGUGAAAUCCUGGAGCUCAACUCCAGAACUGCCUUUGAUACUGGGAAGCUCGAGUCCGGAAGAGGUGAGUGGAACUGCGAGUGUAGAGGUGAAAUUCGUAGAUAUUCGCAAGAACACCAGUGGCGAAGGCGGCUCACUGGUCCGGUACUGACGCUGAGGAGCGAAAGCGUGGGGAGCAAACAGG
rnacentral:rRNA from 1 species